GGAGCAGGACUACGCCGCUCGGGGGCCACGGGCCCGAGGCGCGCGACUACUCCCCGUCCCGCAACCCCCAGGAGGUGGAGGCGCGGUAGUCCCGCGGUCCCCGCGCCGCCUGUACAGAGACCCUCCCACAAAUGCACUGCUGUAAACUUUUCUACGUGGACGUUUCUAGAACCUAAGCACAGCGCCGUCAGUCCUGGGGUGACCCUCGCUUUCCACUCGUAGCCCGCGGAGUCUCAUCCCGAGCCUUGCUGGGGGUGAGCGUGCGUUUUCCGAGCUUGAGGUUAGGCCACUGGAAGAGAUUUGAAGUUUGUACGUCUCUUCCCACAGUUCGGAUUUGCAAUGUAAAGGCCUCAGAUCCCUCUCUAGAACCCCAGGAUCUUUGUCUUAUUUAUGGAGAAAACACGGUCAUUUUGUCCAGCGCACUGUGAGGCCCCCACUCAGGGCCGGCCCUGGCCCUCCCUUGGUACUUGGAACCGAAGUUACAGAUAUAUAUUAAAAUAAUAAUAAUAAUGUACAAAACUUUUUUUGCCUUAUUAUGCAGAAGUGUAAGGAUUUUUUGUUUUUUUAAAAAAAUGAAAUAUGUAAAUAUUCUGUUAAUAUAAAUAUAUGGCGUUAUUAAAUUCUUAACCUGGGUAGACUUUAUAAAAAAAAAAGUUUCUAGAAACCUCUCUGGUUAUUUGUUUAACAUGGUCACAAUAAAUAAAUAAUAAAUAAAUAAAUAAAUAAAUAAAUAAAUAAAAACCUUGCUGUCAGUUGGAAACGCUCGGAAGUUUAACUGCAGCACUGACCCUUCAACUAUGCAAGCGCUCCGAGGUGGGGAACGGGCUCCGGGUCCCCAGCCCCAGGGCCCCAGCCUCCCCGGGACUGGCCGACUGGCCGCAGGACACCUCUGUGGACCCCUGGUUCCGACUGGGCGGCGUUCUCGAUUUGUACCUGACAAGCAGACUUUUCGGAGUGAAGAGUCUAAAGGUUCAUCAUCAUAAAAAGAAACGGUAACGUCUAUUUUCCUGCACGAAGGCCGUCAGCAAACGUUUCUCAGCGUGGCCCUCCCCGGCCGAGGCCUUGGCAUGAUUUUCUUUUGCUUUCGGUUUUGCUUUCAUAACCACCUGAACGUCACCUCGUCUCGCCCUCAGCGCCCUUUUCUGUUCCUUGACGGCCACAGCUGUGUCCACGGCACUUUCGAGCCUUGUGGGUUCACCCAGUUCUGUAUUUUCAGCCCUGCAUCCACCGUGGACUCUGGUUGCUUUAAACAUUCAGUUCUCUUGUCGAUCAAUGAAGAUAAAUACAGUCUUGAUUUCGGAUCA